ACAGAGGGUGCAAGCGUUGUUCGGAAUUAUUGGGCGUAAAGGGCGCGUAGGCGGUGCGGUAAGUCACCUGUGAAAUCUCCGGGCUUAACUCGGAGCCUGCAGGCGAAACUACCGUGCUGGAGUAUGGGAGAGGUGCGUGGAAUUCCCGGUGUAGCGGUGAAAUGCGUAGAUAUCGGAAGGAACACCAGUGGCGAAAGCGGCUUCCUGGUCCAGCACCGACGUUCAGGCACGAAAGCGUGGGGAGCAAACAGGA
rnacentral:rRNA from 1 species